rnacentral:rRNA from 1 species
AUUGAACGCUGGCGGCAGGCCUAACACAUGCAAGUCGAACGAGUGGCGGACGGGUGAGUAAUGUCUGGGAAACUGCCUGAUGGAGGGGGAUAACUACUGGAAACGGUAGCUAAUACCGCAUACCAUCAGAUGUGCCCAAAGGGGAUUAGCGAGUUGGUGGGGUAACGGCUGAAAAAGGGGACGAUCCCUAGCGGGUCUGAGAGGAUGACCAGCCACACUGGAACUGAGACACGGUCCAGACUCCUACGGGAGUCAGCAGUGGGGAAGAUUGCACAAUUGGCGCAAGCCUGAUGCAGCCAUGCCGCGUGUAUGAAGAAGGCCUUCGGGUUGUAAAGUACUUUCAGCGGGGAGGCGGUACCCGCAGAAGAAGCACCGGCUAACUCCGUGCCAGCAGCCGCGGUAAUAC